CAAGCGUUGUCCGGAUUUAUUGGGCGUAAAGAGCGUGUAGGCGGCUUGGUAGGUCCGCUGUGAAAACUCGAGGCUCAACCUCGAGAUGUCGGCGGAAACCACUUGGCUAGAGUCCGGAAGAGGAGAGUGGAAUUCCCGGUGUAGCGGUGAAAUGCGCAGAUAUCGGGAAGAACACCGAUGGCGAAGGCAGCUCUCUGGGACGGUACUGACGCUGAGACGCGAAAGCGUGGGGAGCGAACAGG
rnacentral:rRNA from 1 species